rnacentral:pre_miRNA from 1 species
GUACUAUUUGGUUAUAGUUGUUCAACCAGUUACUAAUCUAGCUAAUUGUAACCGGUUGAACAACUGAACCCAAAGGGUGCAAA